GACGAACGCUGGCGGCGUGCUUAACACAUGCAAGUCGAACGGAAAGGCCCUGCUUUUGUGGGGUGCUCGAGUGGCGAACGGGUGAGUAACACGUGAGUAACCUGCCCUUGACUUUGGGAUAACUUCAGGAAACUGGGGCUAAUACCGGAUAGGAGCUCCUGCCGCAUGGUGGGGGUUGGAAAGUUUCGGCGGUUGGGGAUGGACUCGCGGCUUAUCAGCUUGUUGGUGGGGUAGUGGCUUACCAAGGCUUUGACGGGUAGCCGGCCUGAGAGGGUGACCGGCCACAUUGGGACUGAGAUACGGCCCAGACUCCUACGGGAGGCAGCAGUGGGGAAUAUUGCCCAAUGGGCGGAAGCCUGAUGCAGCAACGCCGCGUGCGGGAUGACGGCCUUCGGGUUGUAAACCGCUUUCGCCUGUGACGAAGCGUGAGUGACGGUAAUGGGUAAAGAAGCACCGGCUAACUACGUG
rnacentral:rRNA from 1 species